rnacentral:rRNA from 1 species
GAUGAACGCUGGCGGCGUGCCUAAUACAUGCAAGUCGAGCGAACAGACGAGGAGCUUGCUCCUCUGACGUUAGCGGCGGACGGGUGAGUAACACGUGGAUAACCUACCUAUAAGACUGGGAUAACUUCGGGAAACCGGAGCUAAUACCGGAUAAUAUAUUGAACCGCAUGGUUCAAUAGUGAGAGACGGUUUUGCUGUCACUUAUAGAUGGAUCCGCGCCGCAUUAGCUAGUUGGUAAGGUAACGGCUUACCAAGGCAACGAUGCGUAGCCGACCUGUGAGGGUGAUCGGCCACACUGGAACUGAGACACGGUCCAGACUCCUACGGGAGGCAGCAGUAGGGAAUCUUCCGCAAUGGGCGAAAGCCUGACGGAGCAACGCCGCGUGAGUGAUGAAGGUCUUCGGAUCGUAAAACUCUGUUAUUAGGGAAGAACAAAUGUGUAAGUAACUAUGCACGUCUUGACGGUACCUAAUCAGAAAGCCACGGCUAACUACGUG